rnacentral:lncRNA from 1 species
GUAAAAUACCUCUCCUGUUCUUGUUCUCCCAGCCAAUACUCUGGUCUAUUUAUUUGUUAUCUAUUGACUUGACAGCUCCAGCCUCCUCCCAUACAGCUUCUUCACCAUCCUUUGUCCGUUUUUUGCAAGUAUUAAAGUGAAAUAUAUCACUCUUUUCUCCAAAAUUAACAUUAACUUGGUGUCCUCUAAAUUUUUCAUCACCAUCUUAAUCACAUUUAUGUAUAGUCAGAUUCUCCAUAAUAUUAAUUCAUGUAUAUCAUGUAUAUCAUGUAUAUCAAUUCUUUUCUUAAAUAUGCUCUGACUGUUCACCUGUUCUUCAUCUUAUAAAUGUUUUUGAAUCUUUUGUUCCUUUCAGACAAUUUUAUGCUGGUGAUUUUUUCCUUUAGUAUGAAAUAAUUUUCCACUUCCCAUCCACUAAAUAAAGCCUUUCUUCUCUUGCACACCUCUGCUGAAAAAUCAGAAAGACAGAUCUUUUCCUCAUUUGAAGGAUGACAGACUUCCUUGUCUUCUUUUAUCUACAAAUGGACAUCUUGGGUCAAUUUGGGCAAGUUUCUUAGGAUCAGUUCCAAAGAAGAUCACAGGCAAAAAAUUCUCUUAAGACCUGACAGAGAAUGAACCAUUGCAUUGCGAAUUACUUGGGUGUCAGCUUCAGAAACUCCAUCACAUAAUUCUUUGGGGUGGCAAGAUCUACAGUUCUUAAGAAGACAGAAUUAAAAUACUUUGCUGAAGACCAUCCUUUUUCUCUGGUGAGAUAUAUACAUAUUUCCUAAAGUCCUAGUUGGUAGGAUGCUGAAGCUCAAGAGAAAUCCUACUAUUGGAAAGGAGAGCAGAUUUUAUGAGAAGAAAGGCCAAAAAACAUACUGAAGAAUUGACUAUUCAUAGUGGAUUGACAUGGAAGAUUUUCUUUCCUGGAAUGAAGUGUAAUAGAGGGGAAGGUACUGAGAUUCUACAGAUUUCAGCUAAUGUAGUUUCAUUAUCUUACAUUCAUGAAUCUUAUUAGAAAUGGGAAAGAUUUGAGAAAGAGAUGUUUAUCUGCAAAAUGUAUCAAAUUUCCAAGAAGUCUUCUGGGAGUAAAAUGGAUUUUCAUUUUGAGACUGUACAUCCAGGAAGAGAGGAUCAAGAUUCCUGAUUUUAACUCACUAGAGGAAAGAGGUCACGAGCCAAGUGGAAGAAUAAGCCACACAACCACAAUGCUCAUCAGUGUGGAAAUCUGCUUUCAGAGUUAUGAAACAGAAUCCCCCAAUAAAGAAGUCGCUCUGGAGAAGUGUGUUUAGAAACCAUACUAAUGGGACCUUCGUCUAGCCCCCAACAUCCGGGAUUGCACUGCAGCAGUGAUCUCUAUAAGAAUUAUAAAUUUAUGUAAAACAUCAUUUAUGAAGUAACAAAGAGUAUAGAAUUACUUUAAGUAAGCACAAGGGAGGAGAAAUACAGGGGCUGUUUGUAAAAAAUUAGCUUAUACUGAGUAAUAAUGAGCAGAUUCAGUUCACUUUGAAUUGCAAC